UACGAAGGGGGCGAGCGUUGUUCGGAUUUAUUGGGCGUAAAGGGCGCGUAGGCGGCUACGCACGUCCGUUGUGAAAUCGCUCGGCUCAACUGGGCGGGGUCAGCGGAUACGGCGUAGCUGGAGCAAGCUAGGGGGCAAUGGAAUUCCCGGUGUAGUGGUGGAAUGCGUAGAUAUCGGGAGGAACACCAGUGGCGAAGGCGGUUGCCUGGAGCUUUGCUGACGCUGAUGCGCGAAAGCGUGGGUAGCAAACAGG
rnacentral:rRNA from 1 species